rnacentral:rRNA from 1 species
GAUGAACGCUAGCUACAGGCUUAACACAUGCAAGUCGAGGGGCAGCAUGAACUUAGCUUGCUAAGUUUGAUGGCGACCGGCGCACGGGUGAGUAACACGUAUGCAACCUGGCCGCCACAGGGGGAUAACCCGCGGAAACGCGGCCUAAUACCCCGUGACGCCACCGGAGGGCAUCCUCCGGUGGCCAAAGGAGCGAUCCGGUGGCGGAUGGGCAUGCGGCGCAUUAGCUAGACGGCGGGGUGACGGCCCACCGUGGCGACGAUGCGUAGGGGUUCUGAGAGGAAGGCCCCCCACACUGGGACUGAGACACGGCCCAG